CCUCUCUCUCCCGGGUUCACAAGAUUCUCCUGCCUCAGCCUCCUGAGUAGCUGGGAUUACAGGCACCCACCACGAUGCCCGGCUAAUUUUUAGUAGAGACAGGGUUUCACCAUGUUGACCAGGCUGGCCUCGAACUCCUGACCUCAUGUGAUCUGCCCGCCUGGGCCUCCCAAAGUGCUGGGAUUACAGGUGUGAGCCACUGCGCCCGGCCAAGAUGUGGUGUUUCUAAUGGCAGGCACUUGAACCCAAUUGAACCCUGAGAGCUCUCUGAGAGGGCUGUGUGUCUUGGGAAUGAGAGAGUUAUGAGUUUUUCAGUGCCUUCUCUAGCUUUCUAGAAGUUGUUAUGAGUGGACCUGACUACCUAGAGAGAGUAAUACAGAAGCUCCGUGCCGAUCACAGCUACCUCAUUACCAUGUUCCUCCAAGAUGGCCGCCCCUGAGGAGAAUCAUCAACUGGGCUUUACGGAAGAGAGAAAUCCAAACGACCAUCAGCAACAAAUGAAAGACUGAAGUUGAAAGUUUCAAGAUUGUCAAGAAUGACGAGUUGGACUUGGUCUAGUUACUUCCACAGCAGCAGGAGGAACAUGUGUGUGACUCAGGAUAACUGGGGAAGCCUUGGCUAGGCUUUCCUCAUGUCAACCUACCACUCAAAGGGAGAAAACCUCCUGAUCAGAGGUGCCCAGAACCCAGGAAAUCCAUAAUUUUUGAAUGCUGGCCGAGGUCUGUGACCUCUGACUGAAUGGUUUCCAAGCUCCGAAUUCCUAGGUGAUGUUUUCAUUUGUUCACACUUGCUGAAGAAGGGAAAGGCUCUCUGAUUUACGUGUAAGCAAAACAAUCUAAACAGUAGGAUAAAAUCAUGUUGGAAUGGAGUUCUGUGUGGAUGCUCCUUUGAACCAAAUCAGUUCCACAACUGACCCU
rnacentral:lncRNA from 10 species